rnacentral:rRNA from 1 species
UACAGAGGGUGCAAACGUUGCUCGGAUUUAUUGGGCGUAAAGCGCGCGUAGGCGGCUUACUAAGUCGACUGUGAAAGCCCAGGGCUCAACCCUGGAAGUGCAGCCGAUACUGGUAGGCUAGAGUUCUAGAGAGGGUAGUGGAAUUCCCAGUGUAGAGGUGAAAUUCGUAGAUAUUGGGAGGAAUACCGGUGGCGAAGGCGGCUACCUGGCUGGAUACUGACGCUGAGGCGCGAAAGCGUGGGGAGCAAACAGG